UCCGGUUUGGCACCGGCAGUCUUCCCAGAGUCCUCGGCAUAACCCGUUAGCAACUGGGAACGGGGGUUGCGCUCGUUGCGGGACUUAACCCAACAUCUCACGACACGAGCUGACGACAGCCAUGCAGCACCUGUGCACGAGUCCCGAAGGAGGGCUCUGGUCUCUCAGAGCUUUCCCGUGCAUGUCAAGCCUAGGUAAGGUUCUUCGCGUUGCGUCGAAUUAAACCACAUGCUCCACCGCUUGUGCGGGCCCCCGUCAAUUCCUUUGAGUUUCAACCUUGCGGUCGUACUCCCCAGGCGGGGUACUUCCUGCGUUAGCGCCGGCACCCAGAGGGUCGCUCCCCCAGGCACCUAGUACCCAUCGUUUACGGCGUGGACUAC
rnacentral:misc_RNA from 1 species